rnacentral:rRNA from 1 species
GUCGCUCGCUCCUCUCCUACUUGGAUAACUGUGGUAAUUCUAGAGCUAAUACAUGCCGACGGGCGCUGACCCCCUUCGCGGGGGGGAUGCGUGCAUUUAUCAGAUCAAAACCAACCCGGUCAGCCCCUCUCCGGCCCCGGCCGGGGGGCGGGCGCCGGCGGCUUUGGUGACUCUAGAUAACCUCGGGCCGAUCGCACGCCCCCCGUGGCGGCGACGACCCAUUCGAACGUCUGCCCUAUCAACUUUCGAUGGUAGUCGCCGUGCCUACCAUGGUGACCACGGGUGACGGGGAAUCAGGGUUCGAUUCCGGAGAGGGAGCCUGAGAAACGGCUACCACAUCCAAGGAAGGCAGCAGGCGCGCAAAUUACCCACUCCCGACCCGGGGAGGUAGUGACGAAAAAUAACAAUACGAGGACUCUUUCGAGGCCCUGUAAUUGGAAUGAGUCCGCUUUAAAUCCUUUAACGAGGAUCCGUUGGAGGGCG